GGAGAUUAGCUUGGAUUAUCCAGGUGGAUUCAAUUUAAUCACAAGCAUUCUUAAAAGUAGAAGGAGGCAGAAGAAGAGAACUAGAGUGCCGGCGCUGUCGGGGAGCUCCUGCCCUGACAUUGCUGGCUUUGAAGAUGGUGGAAGGAGAUCAAUCAAGGAAGCAGGUGGCCUCUAAAAGCUGGAAAAAGUACAGAGAGCCUCCACCUUGAUCUUGGCCCAGUUAGAACCCUGUCAGGCUUCCUUCUACUGAGCUGUAAAGGAUGAUUAACCCUGAGCUAACAUCUACUGCCCAUCCUCCUUUCUUUGCUGAGGAAGACGGGCCGGGAGCUAACAUCUGUGCCCAUCUUCCUCUAUUUUAUAUGUGGGAUGCCUGCCACAGCAUGGCUUGACAAGUGGUGCAUAGGUCCACACCCAGGAUCCGAACAGGUAAAAUCUGGGCUGCAGAAGUGGAAUGUGAGAACUUAACUGCUGUGCCACUUGGCUGGCCCCUAAAGGGCCUUUGUGAGGUGGCUGUGUUUCAGUUCUGGCCCCUGGAUUCUAAUUGCAGCCCCUAUUUCAUAGAAGUGACUCAGUGGAACAACCUUAAUCAGCUGUUGCUAUACUUGGAGCAAAGGCAGGUAGACUGUGAGUUCCAUUUAUUUAGUAUCAUGUUCAAAAACUUAACCCAUGUUUCAAGAGAAAAAACCUUAGAUCACUAUAAAAUUGGCUGGGAUAGAGAGAGUAUGUAUAAUAAGGUAAGAGUUAUAGAAACUUAAACACGAGAAGAAAUGUCACUAGGAAUGGUUGGAAAACUCUGGGAAAAGUGGGGAAAAUUGAAUUUCCUUAAAUUGCUAUUCGACUGAUUUUAUUUUCAUUUUGAAUCCACACUCCUGCUGGUAUAGGCAUAAUCUUCAAAUGGUUUUGAUAUUUUCUCUUGUCUAUUUUAUAACUCAUUCAUAUAUUCAGCGCCACAGCAGCUCUCCAGUGGCAUCUUCUUAUGUCAAG
rnacentral:lncRNA from 1 species